rnacentral:rRNA from 1 species
AACGAACGCUGGCGGCAUGCCUAACACAUGCAAGUCGAACGAGACCUUCGGGCCUAGUGGCGCACGGGUGCGUAACGCGUGGGAAUCUGCCCUUGGGUUCGGAAUAACUCAGAGAAAUUUGAGCUAAUACCGAAUGAUGUCGCAAGACCAAAGAUUUAUCGCCCAAGGAUGAGCCCGCGUAGGAUUAGCUUGUUGGUGAGGUAAAAGCUCACCAAGGCGACGAUCCUUAGCUGGUCUGAGAGGAUGAUCAGCCACACUGGGACUGAGACACGGCCCAGACUCCUACGGGAGGCAGCAGUGGGGAAUAUUGGACAAUGGGCGAAAGCCUGAUCCAGCAA